AAUUCAGUUAUAAAAAUUUGAGUAACAAAGGUAUACUAAUUAUUGUAUUGCCUGAAAGAGUGUCAUUGCUAUUAAAAGCAGUGAAGAAUUCAAGUAUUCUGGAAGAAAAGAAAAUACGUCAAUUAUUUGGCACAAAUCGGAGUUAAAGACAAAGGAGAUUGUAUAUUUUAUUUGCUAAGAAUAGUUUUUUAAAAUGGCCUACUUGUAAAAUUGAACUAUGCAGGGAGAGGACAAAAAAUUGGAAUAGAAAAAAUGUUGAUUGCAUAUGCUGCUAUUGAAACUGUGAAGUCAAAUAAACAUGGCUUAUGCAGACAUGUCAUAGAGAUAGAGGAAGAAAAAAUAAUAUACGUAGGCACCAAAUAUCAUAAGCUAAACACUAUUCAAUAACAAGUAGCUCAGCCAAUAUCGAAACUGCUCUAUAAAUUUUACAGUGAAUUUUUUUAUU